AUGCAAGCCAAGCCUGCUUUCGGUUCUGUGAGGAGUGCCAAUACACAUGUAUGGUCAGAACAGAUGGAUAAGUACCAUGAACUGCGCAAUAUGGCUAGUGAGGCUUUAUUCACGGCCUCAGCUAGUGAAAUGCAGUCAGAAAAGGUGAUGGAGUACCUGAGGAGCAUAUUGGACGAGGGCAACAAAAAUGAUGGGAAUACUGGCACGCCAUCAUUUGUUCCUAUGCCGGCUUAUUUUUCUGGGGCGCGGCAAUGGUUUACAGAUCAAGUCCAAGACCCUAAACCAAUAAUAAAUCCCAAAGGCAGACCAGCCAAAGAAUCGAAUAAGAGGUUGAAGCCAUUCCUGGAGAAUUUGCAAGCAAAAAAGAAAACAUUGAAGAAAGUUCAUGGUCAGUUGAGUAGGGGAGGAAGAAAAAAGUGA
rnacentral:rRNA from 1 species